rnacentral:misc_RNA from 1 species
GCAGAUGUGUAUAAGAGACAGGUGAGUCAUCGAAUCUUUGAACGCACAUUGCGCCCUCUGGUAUUCCGGGGGGCAUGCCUGUUCGAGCGUCAUUAUAACCACUCAAGCUCUCGCUUGGUCUUGGGGUUCGCGUCUUCGCGGCCCCUAAAAUCAGUGGCGGUGCCUGUUGGCUCUACGCGUAGUAAUACUCCUCGCGUCUGGGCCCAGCAGGUUUACUUGCCAAUAACCCUCAUUUUUUACAGGUUGACCUCGGAUCAGGUAGGGAUACCCGCUGAACUUAAGCAUAUCAAUAAGCGGAGG